UUAACAGCAGUUGCUGGUCCGUUCUGUUCUGUUUUUUCUUAUAGCCAUUAUCAUCUAGCCCUGUUCUUCACCCGCACACACACUGGUGCAGUUUUGUAUGCGGACAGCACUGUCGCUUACGUUUUGCACUGGAGAUCGCUGGAUAACGGACAACGGUCUGCGAUUGGAAUGAAUGGAGGUUACCUAAUACUCGUGGAGUGGAAAUGGAGCAAGGGAAGGCCAGUUACUUCACCAUGCAAAUAUGUUGCUAUAACCUUAUAAAUACGGCGUGAAGCUAACAGCGACUGUGACCUACAGCAUACUCUGUUGGACAUCUCAUUUACAUAAUGCAUACGUAUGUAUAUAAACACAUACCAGUGGUCAGCUCCUGCCACAACACUCCCACACACACAGACACGCAAUGGCGACUUUGCAGCUUCUCCUUAAAGCCAUCUUGCGAUCGUGGCGCAUCUCCUCCAGUGCAGAAACAAUGUCUGAGUAAUUAACAGAGCAAUUAGCAAUGAAAUUCGACAAUUUAGCAUUAACAUAUUCGUGCUGGUAUUUAUGGCAUAUUUAUGUACAUAAAUAUAGGCACAAAAUAAAGAGCAGAAGAAAUACAGUAAAUAUGUA